rnacentral:tRNA from 1 species
GUCGAGCGGUAAUGCAGCCGAUUGCCAACCCACAGGUCGGCGGUUCAGUUCCCGAUC